UACAGAGGUCUCAAGCGUUGUUCGGAUUCAUUGGGCGUAAAGGGUGCGUAGGCGGCGCGGUAAGUCGGGUGUGAAAUCUUGGAGCUUAACUCCGAAACUGCAUUCGAUACUGCCGUGCUUGAGGACUGGAGAGGAGACUGGAAUUUACGGUGUAGCGGUGAAAUGCGUAGAUAUCGUAAGGAACACCAGUGGCGAAGGCGGGUCUCUGGACAGUUCCUGACGCUGAGGCACGAAGGUCAGGGGAGCAAACGGG
rnacentral:rRNA from 1 species